UGGGGAAUAUUGCACAAUGGGCGAAAGCCUGAUGCAGCGACGCCGCGUGAGGGAUGACGGCCUUCGGUUUGUAAACCUCUUUCAGUAGGGACGAAGCGCAAGUGACGGUACCUGCAGAAGAAGCACCGGCUAACUACGUGCCAGCAGCCGCGGUAAUACGUAGGGUGCGAGCGUUGUCCGGAAUUACUGGGCGUAAAGAGCUCGUAGGCGGUUUGUCACGUCGUCUGUGAAAUCCUAGGGCUUAACCCUGGACGUGCAGGCGAUACGGGCUGACUUGAGUACUACAGGGGAGACUGGAAUUUCUGGUGUAGCGGUGGAAUGCACAGAUAUCAGGAAGAGCACCGAUGGCGAAGGCAGGUCUCUGGGUAGUAACUGACGCUGAGGAGCGAAAGCAUGGGUAGCGAACAGG
rnacentral:rRNA from 1 species